rnacentral:rRNA from 1 species
UACGGAGGGGACUAGCGUUGUUCGGAAUUACUGGGCGUAAAGCGCACGUAGGCGGAUUUGUAAGUCAGGGGUGAAAUCCCGGGGACUCGAACCUCGGAACUGCCUUUGAUUACUGAAGAUCUUGAGUCCGGGAGAGGUGGAGUGGAACUGCGAGUGUAGAGGUGAAAUUCGUAGAUAUUCGCAAGAACACCAGUGGCGAAGGCGGCUCACUGGCCCGGUACUCGGACGCU